rnacentral:rRNA from 1 species
CUGCGAUAAGCGCCGGUAAGGUGAUAUGAACCGUUAUAACCGGCGAUACCCGAAUGGGGAAACCCAGUGUGACUCGUCACACUAUCAUUAACUGAAUCCAUAGGUUAAUGAGGCGAACCGGGGGAACUGAAACAUCUAAGUACCCCGAGGAAAAGAAAUCAACCGAGAUUCCCCCAGUAGCGGCGAGCGAACGGGGAGGAGCCCAGAGCCUGAAUCAGCAUGUGUGUUAGUGGAAGCGUCUGGAAAGGCGCGCGAUACAGGGUGACAGCCCCGUACACAAAAGCGCAUGUGCUGUGAGCUCGAUGAGUAGGGCGGGACACGUGGUAUCCUGUCUGAAUAUGGGGGGACCAUCCUCCAAGGCUAAAUACUCCUGACUGACCGAUAGUGAACCAGUACCGUGAGGGAAAGGCGAAAAGAACCCCGGCGAGGGGAGUGAAAAAGAACCUGAAACCGUGUACGUACAAGCAGUGGGAGCACCCUUUGGGUGUGACUGCGUACCUUUUGUAUAAUGGGUCAGCGACUUAUAUUCUGUAGCAAGGUUAACCGAAUAGGGGAGCCGGAGGGAAACCGAGUCUUAAUUGGGCGUUAAGUUGCAGGGUAUAGACCCGAAACCCGGUGAUCUAGCCAUGGGCAGGUUGAAGGGUGGGUAACACUAACUGGAGGACCGAACCGACUAAUGUUGAAAAAUUAGCGGAUGACCUGUGGCUGGGGGUGAAAGGCCAAUCAAACCGGGAGAUAGCUGGUUCUCCCCGAAAGCUAUUUAGGUAGCGCCUCGUGAAUUCAUCUCCGGGGGUAGAGCACUGUUUCGGCUAGGGGGCCAUCCCGGCUUACCAACCCGAUGCAAACUGCGAAUACCGGAGAAUGUUAUCACGGGAGACACACGGCGGGUGCUAACGUCCGUCGUGAAGAGGGAAACAACCCAGACCGCCAGCUAAGGUCCCAAAGUCAUGGUUAAGUGGGAAACGAUGUGGGAAGGCCCAGACAGCCAGGAUGUUGGCUUAGAAGCAGCCAUCAUUUAAAGAAAGCGUAAUAGCUCACUGGUCGAGUCGGCCUGCGCGGAAGAUGUAACGGGGCUAAACCAUGCACCGAAGCUGCGGCAGCGACACUGUGUGUUGUUGGGUAGGGGAGCGUUCUGUAAGCCUGCGAAGGUGGCCUGUGAGGGUUGCUGGAGGUAUCAGAAGUGCGAAUGCUGACAUAAGUAACGAUAAAGCGGGUGAAAAGCCCGCUCGCCGGAAGACCAAGGGUUCCUGUCCAACGUUAAUCGGGGCAGGGUGAGUCGACCCCUAAGGCGAGGCCGAAAGGCGUAGUCGAUGGGAAACGGGUUAAUAUUCCCGUACUUGGUGUUACUGCGAAGGGGGGACGGAGAAGGCUAUGUUGGCCGGGCGACGGUUGUCCCGGUUUAAGCGUGUAGGUGUGUGUUCCAGGUAAAUCCGGUUCACUUUAACACUGAGGCGUGACGACGAGGCACUACGGUGCUGAAGCAACAAAUGCCCUGCUUCCAGGAAAAGCCUCUAAGCAUCAGGUAACAUCAAAUCGUACCCCAAACCGACACAGGUGGUCAGGUAGAGAAUACCAAGGCGCUUGAGAGAACUCGGGUGAAGGAACUAGGCAAAAUGGUGCCGUAACUUCGGGAGAAGGCACGCUGACACGUAGGUGAAGUGAUUUACUCAUGGAGCUGAAGUCAGUCGAAGAUACCAGCUGGCUGCAACUGUUUAUUAAAAACACAGCACUGUGCAAACACGAAAGUGGACGUAUACGGUGUGACGCCUGCCCGGUGCCGGAAGGUUAAUUGAUGGGGUCAGCGCAAGCGAAGCUCCUGAUCGAAGCCCCGGUAAACGGCGGCCGUAACUAUAACGGUCCUAAGGUAGCGAAAUUCCUUGUCGGGUAAGUUCCGACCUGCACGAAUGGCGUAAUGAUGGCCAGGCUGUCUCCACCCGAGACUCAGUGAAAUUGAACUCGCUGUGAAGAUGCAGUGUACCCGCGGCAAGACGGAAAGACCCCGUGAACCUUUACUAUAGCUUGACACUGAACAUUGAGCCUUGAUGUGUAGGAUAGGUGGGAGGCUUUGAAGUGUGGACGCCAGUCUGCAUGGAGCCGACCUUGAAAUACCACCCUUUAAUGUUUGAUGUUCUAACGUGGACCCGUUACCCGGGUUGCGGACAGUGUCUGGUGGGUAGUUUGACUGGGGCGGUCUCCUCCUAAAGAGUAACGGAGGAGCACGAAGGUUGGCUAAUCCUGGUCGGACAUCAGGAGGUUAGUGCAAUGGCAUAAGCCAGCUUGACUGCGAGCGUGACGGCGCGAGCAGGUGCGAAAGCAGGUCAUAGUGAUCCGGUGGUUCUGAAUGGAAGGGCCAUCGCUCAACGGAUAAAAGGUACUCCGGGGAUAACAGGCUGAUACCGCCCAAGAGUUCAUAUCGACGGCGGUGUUUGGCACCUCGAUGUCGGCUCAUCACAUCCUGGGGCUGAAGUAGGUCCCAAGGGUAUGGCUGUUCGCCAUUUAAAGUGGUACGCGAGCUGGGUUUAGAACGUCGUGAGACAGUUCGGUCCCUAUCUGCCGUGGGCGCUGGAGAACUGAGGGGGGCUGCUCCUAGUACGAGAGGACCGGAGUGGACGCAUCACUGGUGUUCGGGUUGUCAUGCCAAUGGCACUGCCCGGUAGCUAAAUGCGGAAGAGAUAAGUGCUGAAAGCAUCUAAGCACGAAACUUGCCCCGA